UCCCUUUUUAAAGAUAGUUGCCUUAUAUUUUGGAUUUCCUUUGUUUUAUUCAUAUCUGUACUUUUUCCCCUCAUCCCUUAACUUUCCUUCUUCCCAGCUGAUAAUCAGUUGGUUCCAUUUUUGUCUCCAAGAGGCUCCUUCCUGGAACCCAGGCUCACUGAUUGUGGCUAAACUUCGUUCCCCUCUGCCGGCAGGUGCCAUAAAUUUGUCCUUGGACUUCCCCUCACCACCACCCUGGAAAUUCCCUUUGCUCCUCUAAGCCCGCCUUCCUGGGACUUCCUCUUCCUCGUUCUUGGCUAUUCAGGUUCCUCCCUCCCCUUCGUGGACCACAUCUUCCAGCAGCUUCCUGAGAAAGUAUACAGAGCCAGCUGAAAGCAUGUCACUUUCGGCUUUGUGGAUUCUGACCUCAUGGUUCAAGGUGGCUGCUCCAGCUCCAGUUUCAUGGCCACGUUCCAAGGAGGAAGAUGAAAACAAAGAAGAGGAUAAGGCGGCAGUGUAUCACAAAAACAAAAUGUCCUGUAAUUUCUGUGACCAGAGAAGACAUUCAGCCAUGCUGUCCCUCGGCCAAGAUGAACUAAGCCUGCGCCCCCAGAGAGCUGCUUGUGCUUCAUCCAGCCCAGCGUUUCUCAUGAUGUACUCUGCAUAUAAGUUAAAUAAGCAGGGUGACAAUGUACAGCCUUGACAUACUCCUUUCCCGAUUUGGAACCAGUCUGUUGUUCCAUGUCCAGUUCUAACUGUUGCUUCCUGACCUGCAUACAGAUUUCUCAAGAGAGAUAUGAUCUCAUAAUUGCAUGGAAUUACACCUGAGAUAUCAGAUGUCCUGUGCUUACCUUCUACGUGCUCUGCUGGAGGGAAGCUAAGAUCCUUCAUUCUUUUCAGACAACUGGUUCUUCAAAGACGCUGACAAACCAGAUAGUCCAGAACUGCACACUCUGGAGCUAAUUCCACGAGCAGCUGAGACCAGGAUGGAUGGAUUCUUGGAUACAGAUAGGGAAGUAGAGAGAGGAAUGGAGAGGCUGCUGAACCAGGAGCACUUGUGCAAAGUAAACAUGAAUUCUGAGGUGAUGAUAGACAACACAGAACUUUAAAGGUGCAACCAAGGAAAUGGAAGCUAAAAGCUUGCAAGUGGCCCUUCCUGACCUCCCUCACGUGUCUCCCCUUUCCUUUCCUUUUUUUUUUUCUCCCUUUUUCCUUCUCUUAGCAUCUUGUCCCUUUCUCAAUAAUUAAGUCUGUAAUUCAUGAAGGUCAAUAGAGCAAAGGAGGUGUGUGUGAGGAGAGGUGGCCCAGAGAGGGGACUCAGAGCUCAGGAUUCUAUGCAUAUUCUAGGUCCAGAUGGGGUGUCAGAGCCGAUAGAGGGAGGAAGUCCACAUGGGGGAGGAGGGGUGGAGACUGAUUCUAUACAGGGCAUGGAUCAAAUAAGUAAGUAUACUUAGAAAAAUGGGAUCUAGGUUUCUCACUGUAAGAGAAAGGCAUUGCAAAUAUGGAAAUAGAGAAGAUGAGAAAGAGCCCUGUGAUAUUGGAUUGAAAUUGAAGGUGUUGGUGUGAACUCAAAGGUGUCAAUAAAAAUACACAUGGAAAUGAAUGUGUGUGUGUUGACACAUUCGUGUAUUUUCUAGCUCUGUCUGCCGAGAGGUUCUUGGUGCAGCAGUAGCUCCAUAGCCAUGAGCACACCUAGUGCCCAGAUCGUGGUUUCUAAGUACCAUUCCCCACUAAAAGCUCCUUGGAGAAGCAGCUGGUUCUAGGGCUAGGACAGGGUACGUAGAAGUCGAACCUAGAACAUCUAUCUGUGUCAGAAAAAAAUAUGGAAAUGCUCAAAGGAUGACAGGGAAAUGUCACAAAGACACAGAAGUCAGCUUGAAGGGGCUCAAAUAUAACACAAUUUGAGCAUAAAAAGAAUUGUAACGGAUUACAACCCAUUGAGGGCUUCCCAGGUGUCACUGGGGGGGUAAAGAAUCUACCUGCCAAUGCAGGAGAUGCAAGAGACUCAGGUUUGAUCCCUGGGCAACCCACUCCAGUAUUCUUGCCUGGAAAACCCCAUGGACAGAGGAGCCUGAUGGGCUACAGUCCACGGGGCCACAGAGAGUCAGACACAACUGAGAGACUGAGUACAUACAUAACCCAUUGAAUAAAACAGAAAAUCAUGAAUCCAUACUGAAUUAAGGACUUGAUAAGAAAUGGGAUGUUUUCAGUUCCUCCCUCAAAAUAUAUAUUGAGACUUCCCUGGUGGUCCAGUGGCUGGGACUCCAAGCUCCCAGCAAGGGGAUGCGGGGGCCUGGCUUCCAUCCCUGGUUCCAUCUCUGGUUCCAUCCCUGGUCAGAGAACUGGAUUCACAUGCUGCAACUGGGAGUUUUCAUGCUGCAGCUUCAAAGUAGGGUCUGGCACAGCCAAAUAAAUAAAUAAACAUAAUUUUUAAAAAUACAUAUUAAUCACAGAGAGCAAAAGAGUGGUUUCCUGGUGAAGAAGCCUAGCAAAUGCCAUUUUAUCUAAUGAUGGAACAAUUCACAAUCCUGCACCACUCGUGAUGAUGCCAUAAAGAACACAACCUCACCUCUGAUCUGUGUCUGCUAAAGAUGCACAAUUUAAAUCUAACCAUGAGGAAAUAUCAGGUUUCCUGGGUAGUGCAGUGGUAAAGAAUCUGCCUGCUAAUGUAAGAGACGUUAAGAGAUAUGGGUUCAAUCCCUGGGUCAUGAAGAUUCCCCAAAGAAGGGAGUGACAACCCACUUCAGUGUUCGUGCCUGGAAAAAUCCUGUGGACAGAAGAGCCUGGCGGAUUACAGUCCUUGGGGAUGCAAAGAGUCGGACACGACUGAGCACACUCACAUAGAUGAAUGAGGAAACAUCAGACAAAUGAAAGUGCAGGAAGAGUCUACAAAACAACUGUCCCAUUCUCUUAAAAAAUAACAAGGUCACAAAGGUCAAGGAAACAGUGAGGAAGG
ensembl:lncRNA